rnacentral:lncRNA from 1 species
AUAUAUAUAUAUAUAGGUCUAAGCUGGCCUAGUCCCAUGUGACUAGCCACAUAGCAAUCAAAAUAAUAUUAUGUAAUGUUGAAUUGAUAUAAGUGAGGAGAAUCUGGCACCAGGAAUUUCAAAACAUGCAAAGAAUAAUUACUACUAUUAUUUUGUUUCAUAGCGUUUGAAAUCUUGUGAGCAGUCUUCUCCUAAUCAUUCUUGUGAAGCAAAAACAAAAAUUCCUUGCUUUAAUUUGCUGGCUUUUUGCCUUUUCAUUUCAGCUCUAAUAGUAUAAAUAAAAUUUAUUAAUAAUUUGCUCUGGACUAGACAAGACGAUAUUAAAAGGACAAAAAAAAAAAGAAAUAAUAUUCAGAUUAGAAAAAGUUGAAUGCAUGCAUGCAAUAUAUAUAUAUAUACUUCAUGCAUUAUUACUUGAAUCACUUAAAACGAUUUAAAAUUAGUAAAAGGCUUCGCUCGUUUUUAUCAUGUCAUUUGAUCUUCUUCUUCUCUUUCUCUCUGGGCCAAUAGAUUCAUGUAGAAACCAACACGCUGUGCUGAUAAAUUAAAGCUCCGCAUAGCCACAGCCCACAGGGACCAUCCAAAGCAAGCAUCGUUUUCUCAUUUGGAUUUUAAUGGAAAGGAAUGUGCUGGGUGUCUGUCAAACGGAGUUGUAAUAGUCAGCAUUCAUAUGAACAAGGUCACGCACAUGGAUAUUCAAGUUUAUUGGGUCCGUGACACUCUCCCCUUUUCUUUUCAAUAGGCUUGUCAAUUUCCCAUUGAUAUUUUAAUUAGAUAUACGAACGAAUCCGCCAAUUUGCCAGCUUCAAAGAUUUCAUCUCUCACUGGUAAAUCAAUCAUUUGAUAUUUUAUGGAAUUUUAACAAAAUUAACCAGUGCUUAUGUAACUUACAUCCCUCAAUAAAACACAUGCAGACCACCUCAUAACCUAUUAGGUAUGAAUUGUGCCUAAAAAGAGUGUUAAGUACACCGACAGUAACUUAGUAAUUGCCAUUAAUCAGUAGUUGAUCACCCAAUGUGUGCAUAGCAGAAGCCGCAAAGCUGAAAAGAUGUGCUUAUUUACGGUGAAAAGUGAGGUGUAUAUUAUAUUGUAUUAUGAGGAUAAGGUUAUGCCUUUAUGAGUUAUGACUUUUAACACAAAGCAAUUCUUUGUGUCAGCUCUUUGCAUGUGACUUUCUUUCUUUGGAAAAUUGGAAAUCCAGCAUCGUCUGCAAAUCAAAUAUGUUUGAGAAUUAAAGCAUGAAGCUUUAGAGGAAUACUAUUGUUAGCUUCAUUUGUUGCAUUAAGGUUUAUCCGACUCAAUUUAUUUAACUCAUAUAUCUUGUCUUUAAUCUUUAUUACUUUCCUCCUUAUUAAUUGAAGUUAAAAUUAAAAUCAUUAAGCAUUCUCGUGCAUGAGUCCAUUUAGAUUCAUUCUUGCGGUAACAAUCAAUCCUGAUUCUGAUUUUACUAAUAAUUUAGGCUCCGUUGGUUGGUACAGCUUUUCAAGUAAAAUUUAUUUAAGUAGAGUUUUUUGUUAGA